rnacentral:rRNA from 1 species
UACGGAGGGUGGCAAGCGUUAUCCGGAUUUACUGGGUUUAAAGGGUGCGUAGGGCGGGCCUUAAGUCAGUGGUGAAAGCUCCGAGCUUAACUCGGAAACUGGCCAUUGAUACUAUUGGUCUUUGAAUUCGGUCGAGGUUGGCGGAAUGUGUCGUGUGAGCGGUAGAAAUGCUUAGAUAAUGACACAGAACACCGAUUGCGAAGGCAGCUAGCUAGACCACAUUGACGUGGAG